UACGAAGGGUGCAAACGUUGCUCGGAAUUAUUGGGCGUAAAGCGCACGUAGGCGGCUUAGCAAGUCGGAAGUGAAAUCCCACGGCUCAACCAUGGAAGUGCUUUCGAAACUGCUGAGCUUGAGUACGAAAAGAGGAUCGCGGAAUUCCCGGUGUAGAGGUGAAAUUCCGUAGAUAUCGGGGAGGAACACCAGUGGCGAAGGCGGCGAUCUGGACGGACACUGACGCUGAGACGCGAAAGCGUGGGGGAGCAAACAGG
rnacentral:rRNA from 1 species